CUAUAUUUCGCUAAUACAAUAGCAAACACUAUAUUUCGCUAAUACAAUAACAAACACUAUAUUUCGCUAAUACAUUAGCAAACACUAUAUUUCGCUAAUACAAUAACAAACAUUAUAUUUUUUUUUUUUUUAAUUUUCAAAAAAAUAAUGCUUAAUUUAUAAAAGAAAAAAAUUUGCUAAAAAUAAUUAUAACAAAAGUAGGUUACCUAUAUGGUACAAACACUUCUUAGUACUUUCCUAAUUGCAUAUAAAAUUUUAUUCUUCACGCUAAUACUACUAUUUUUUUUUUUUUUUAACUUUUCAAUUAUUUUCCCAUUUUGUUUCUUAAUCAUAAAAUGCUUUUUUUUUUUGUUUGUUAAUUAUUGUUUUGGUAAGUACAUUUUUUUUUUUUGGCAGUGUAACAUAUUACGUCAUUAUUUCAACAAUUUAGAAUAUAUUUCUCCUAUUGUUAAUAAAAUUAUAUUAUUAAACAUUAAUAAGUUAAAAUAUGAAUAAAAAAAAAUGCAUUAAAAUCUACUUGUAACGUGUAAAACUAUUCAAAAUCAUUCACUAACAUCUUUAUUAUAUGUAGAAAUGUGUAAAUAAAAUGCUUACCACUAUUUAUAAAGUAAUUAUUGUUUUGUUUUUAAUAUGGAAAUGGAUCAACAACCGUAAGGCUCCCGUAAAAAAUGUUUUGAACACUAAGUAUGAUAGAUCACUUGCUCAACGUGAUGUCUUAACAAACGCACAAAAUGACUAUCCUUAUGUGGCAUAUUAUGACAAUGACCCCUUUUAUAAACAAUUUGAGCAACCUAUUAAUGAUAAUGAUCCAAAUAUAAAUGUUCGAACUGCUGAACAUUAUGAAAAUGUUUCAAUUUUAUUAAGUGAUAUUAAAAAAGAAUUAAUUGAAAUGUUAGCUAACCAAUAUGAUCCUCAAAUAACAAAUAUAUUGGAAAAAAAUAAAAACAUACAACAACAGGAUCUGCUAAAAAUAUAUAAACUUUUUAAACAUGUCAUGUCAAGUGACGAAUAUUUACAAAUUGUAAAAAAAAGUUGUGAAUCAUUAAAAAAAAAUAAAACUCAUAAUAAUUACCGUGCUAAAACAUAUCACAGCUCGGUGUUAUACUUACUAAAUACAUAUUUCUGUCUUACCAACAAUAAACAAGAUUUUAAACAGCGCUUUAUGCAAUUACAACAAGAUAAUCAAGAACAACCAACAUUUAAAACGAAGGGAUUCAAAUUCAAAGCGAAAUAUUUAAAUAUUUUCAAACUUAGUAAAAAAAUAGAUAAACAUUUUCGAACCAAAUUACUUAAAGAAAUUAUAAAAAAUAAAAUAGAUCCAUAUAUGAAAUUUUCAUUUAAUGAACAUCUUAAGUUUGGUGCUUAUGCAUUCUAUAUUCCAGCAUUAGUAAUGAUGCUUUUUAUUAUCACCUCAUUUACUGUGUCAGCUCCUUUCACAUACAUAGUAUUAGGACUGUACUUAUGUACAUAUGCACAAUCCGUAUUUAAAUUUUAUAGAAACAUAGAGUUUAUAAACCAAAUUGUACAAGGGUCACAACUGUCAAACAGAGAAUAUUUUAUUUAAUAAAAAAAAAAAAAUACGAUAAACAAGCUAUAACACAGUAAAAUAAGUAUAAAAAUAAUAAUUUUAAUACUGCUAACAUAAAUAUGUGUUUUUUCAAUGCCCCGAACACAAACAUUUAAACAUAUCUAACGUUUUAAAUUUAUUAAAUAUUUAAGCAAAUAGCUAUUUAAUUAUGGAUUACCACAAAAAAAAAUAAAAAAAUAACAAUAAUCA
rnacentral:lncRNA from 1 species